rnacentral:rRNA from 1 species
GAUGAACGCUAGCGGGAGGCUUAACACAUGCAAGUCGAGGGGCAGCAUAGGGUAGCAAUACCUGGUGGCGACCGGCGCAAGGGUGCGUAACGCGUGAGCAACAUGCCCUAUACAGGGGGAUAAUCCAGGGAAACUUGGUCUAAUAUCCCAUAGCAUUUAGAGGAGGCAUCUUCACUAAAUUAAAGCUUCGGUGGUAUAGGAUUGGCUCGCGUGACAUUAGCUAGAUGGUGAGGUAACGGCCCACCAUGGCUAUGAUGUCUAGGGGUUCUGAGAGGAAGACCCCCCACACUGGGACUGAGACACGGCCCAGACUCCUACGGGAGGCAGCAGUGAGGAAUAUUGGACAAUGGAUGGAAAUCUGAUCCAGCCAUGCCGCGUGCAGGAAGACGGCCCUAUGGGUUGUAAACUGCUUUUAUAUGGGAGCAAUAAGGUUUACGAGUAGACCGAUGAGAGUACCAUAUGAAUAAGCAUCGGCUAACUCCG